AUACGUAGGGAGCGAGCGUUGUCCGGAAUUACUGGGUGUAAAGGGUGCGUAGGCGGGACUGCAAUUCAGAUGUGUAAUGCCGGGGCUCCAACCCGGAGCUGCAUUUGAGACUGUGGUCCUCGCGUGAGGUAAUGGUAAGCGGAAUUACUUGGGUCGCGGUGAAAGGCGUAGAUAUUAGGAGGAACAUCGGUGGUGAAGGCGGCUUACUGGGCCUUUACUGACGCUGAGGCACGAAAGCGUGGGGAGCAAACAGGAUUAGAUACCCUGGUAGUCCACGCUGUAAACGAUGAUGACUAGGUGUGGGGGGACUGAACCCUUCCGUGCCGCAGUUAACACAAUAAGUCAUCCACCUGGGGAGUACGGCCGCAAGGUUGAAACUCAAAUGAAUUGACGGGG
rnacentral:rRNA from 1 species